AGUUACCAGCACGUUAUGGUGGGCACUCUAAGGAGACUGCCGGUGACAAACCGGAGGAAGUGGGGAUGACGUCAAGUCAUCAUGGCCCUUACGGCCUGGGCUACACACGUGCUACAAUGGUCGGUACAAAGGGUUGCCAAGCCGCGAGGUGGAGCUAAUCCCAUAAAACCGAUCGUAGUCCGGAUCGCAGUCUGCAACUCGACUGCGUGAAGUCGGAAUCGCUAGUAAUCGUGAAUCAGAAUGUCGCGGUGAAUACGUUCCCGGGCCUU
rnacentral:rRNA from 1 species